UCCUUCAGGAAGGACCACAAGAUGGCUCUGAUCCAGAUGGGCUCGGUGGAGGAAGCCAUCGAGUCCCUGAUCGAGUUCCACAACCACGACCUGGGAGAAAACCACCACCUCCGAGUCUCCUUCUCCAAAUCCUCCAUCUGAGCCUCAGAGCGUCUGAACCGUGUCCACUACACUCCCAUCAUUCCUACGCACGUCUGCAAGAAACCACCGUGAAGUCUGGUGUGAUGUUAAAUUAUUUUUUUAAAACUCAUUUUUAGGUUCUUUGCCUUCAAAGAGGAUUAGGGGGCAAUUUAAGAAGAAAAAUGGAGUUUGGGAGGAAGUCAGAAUUCUGGAUUUUUAUCUCGGACGUCGGGGAAUGAAGUCAGAAUUCUGAGUUUGUCAGAAAUAAACAGAUGUGUUCCGAUUAUAGUCAGGAUUUUGAUUAUAAUCGAGUUAUUAGUGCCCUUGUUGGGAAGUUUUUAACCAUUAGCCACUCUUGCCUUUUAGACUUUAAUCCUGAAAUUAAGGUAUUAAAGUUUUUUCUCCUCAACGCUGACUUCCCGACUUAAAAAACUCAGAAUUCUACCUUAAAUCUCAGAUUUCAAAUUGUCCUUAGAUGUUCCUAAUCCUCUUCUCUAAAGUUUCCCCCUUCUAAAGUAACGCUUCUAUCUUUUAAAUUAUCUGCUCUGACAACGUUUGGGAAGUCGAGAAUUUACCCACAAGCCGUCAGAAUCUAGUCCGGCCUCGUUAAGGAAGGCCUCGUUAAGGAAGGCCUCGUUAAGGAAGGCCCCGUUAAGGAAGGCCUCGUUAAGGAAGGCCUCGUUAAGGAAGGCUUAGUUUGACCUUAAUAUGAUCCCUGUGCCUUAUUCCUGGAGUCAGAAUCGACUUUGACAUGUUAAAAAAAAAAAUCUCCCAUCAUGCCUCUGUAAAUUGGCAAAGUGCAGGUUUACAGUUGAUAAAGGUUUACUGUUAAUGUAUUACAGAUAUAUCCUUAUUUUAUGUGUAUUUUAUUGGUGUUUUUCUUUAUGUUAGUGUUUUGUACUGCUGGUUACUGUAGCGUCGAACAUGUGAACGGAUUCUGUUGUAGCGGGUUUUUUUUAGAUACUCUUUUUUUUCCUCUAUUCCUUUUUGAUUUCUUUAUUUCCAUGUAUGCAAUCACGUUUUAUUCAAAAUCAAAUAUUGUAGCAAUAUUUUAAUCAUUCCUGAACUUUUACUUGUUGGUUUUUCUUUUUGUUGCUGGCUCGGCGGUUCUUCUCCUGCUGCCUUUUUACAAUCUGACGAAUGUCGCUUUGUUUCUGUCGGGUUUGUGAGUCGCGACGUGUUCGCUUGUCUCGUCUUCUCGCUUCGCCUCUGAACGGUUUUAUUUAUACGUUUGUGAUCCACUACAGCUGAAACCAAAAACGGCCUUUUUUAGAUGCAACAAAUCCGCCUGCCUCAGGUUUCUGGUUUUAAGGACUUAAGAAAAAUAACACACAAAGAUGGAAGAUUGUGAACUGGUUUGGGCUUUGGUGGUGUUUUCCUGUGGGAGGUUUUUAUUCAUUUCUCGACCGCUUCACUGGAUCUCUAUUGCGAACCCAGAUGUAACGUGUGAGUGCCUUCAAACGCAGCGCCGAGUCGGACAUCAGGUAUUAAUUCCUCUUUUACUCCGAGAUGAAAGUUUGACGGAGAAGAAAACCCCACGGUCGUCACAAAUGUGCUGAAACUAGAAGGUGCUGGUUUGGUUUAUCUGUGUGUCUUAAUAUUAUUACGUCGACAUUCCAGCUGCUCGUGACGAAGAUUCCCCGUUUCCCCUGAAGGUUUCCCCUGAGGCGUGAUGCAUUCAAGGCCCCUGGGAGGUUUCAGUAGCUGAGCUUUUAAACAGUUACUGAACAGAAGUCCGGACUCAUUCCAGAGGUUCAGAGAAGGUUCUCAUACAAGAGUUAAACUGACUACGUUUAUACGCACAAAAUAAUAUAAUUUAAGCCCUUUUUCUGGAUGAAAGACCCUUCCCUAGUAGACCGUUAGCAUGAAUAUUGUAUAUAAAUGUUUAACUUUUUCCACUUAGCAUGCAGCUGUGCAUUUUCCUAAUAACUCAAAUGUUUUUUCCAACUUUUCCCACCGGUUGUUGAUCCUUAAAAUGUGUUGAUAUACAAUUCUUUAAUACUUUGAAAACGUACACAUACACCAAUGCAUGAAAAAAUGAAAUGAUAGAAAAUAAUGAACUUUGUUUCAAUCGUUCAACUUUGAAUGAACCAAAUUAAAUCAAACCAAUUUAUGAAACUCAUAUUUUUGGCUAAGUCACGGCAGCAAAACAUUGAACCAGCAACUUUUCAGUUCCCAAGUCUAGAGGCUGAGCUGCUGAGCCAAUUAAGGCUCCAAAUAUCAAUACAUAAUAUCAACUGUAAAUGGCAUGUUUUCAAACUGCAUGUAAGUGUGCAUGUUAACGUAGUAUUUAGUAUUUUUCUUGAAUAUUACCCCAUUCUGGUUUCCAUAAUGGAUUUUUUCUUUCCUUCAAUGGCCUUAAUGCAUGUCACAAAUACUAUGUUUCAGAAAAGAUCUGCCCGUUACAUUCCCAGUGAGUGUGUAAGAUCAUUUUCACACAGUGUGGAGGAGCUUAAACAUUCACACACACACCAUCACAUCAAAACUAAUGAUGUGAGCAGCUGUUUUCUCCCAGUGGACCAAUGGAAACCUGCUGGAUGUAAAUAAUAGUUUUGUUAAUUCUUUCAGAAAUUCCUUUUAGUGUGUCUGCCAGAAAAAUGAAUGACACAAUGGCAUUAAGUCCUGUAUUUUCUGACGGAUACACACCACAUUCACAGUUAUUUCCCAGGGGCCUUGAAUGCAUCACGGCCUCAGUGUGGGGUGAGGCGGGUGAGAGGAGGAGGAGGAGGAGGGCGGGGUGUUGAGCUGUACAUACGUGUUUUAUACCACAGUGACGUGUCAGAGCUGAUGGUGGUUUUAUAUCUGAUGUAUAUUUUGAUUCAAAGUGAGCGCCCGGUUCUGAGCCUUUCACUGUUUGUGUCACAAAACAAAACAAGAAGCAGAUUAAAAUCACUUUUUAUCAGAAAACUCUGAAGGCACGAGUCGUCUGUUUAUAUCGAACACUGUCGAUGUUUGUAUGAUGUUGUGAUGAAAAUAAAAAGACAAGAGACGAGAAGCAGAAA